UACGUAGGUGGCAAGCGUUGUCCGGAUUUACUGGGCGUAAAGAGCGCGCAGGCGGUCGUCCAAGUCGCGUGUGAAAGCCCCCGGCUCAACUGGGGAGGGUCACGCGAUACUGGUCGACUCGAAGGCAGGAGAGGGUAGUGGAAUUCCUAGUGUAGAGGUGAAAUUCGUAGAUAUUAGGAAGAACACCAGAGGCGAAGGCGGCUUUCUGGACCAUUACUGACGCUGAGGCGCGAAAGCGUGGGGAGCAAACAGG
rnacentral:rRNA from 1 species